UGUCCAAUAAUGUCAUCCAUGUGUAGAGAUCAAACACAACAUUUUAGGCUUUCAUAACUAAAAACGACCAAGGUAGAUCACUUAAACAUUUAACGUGUGUUAGAUACAUAGAAACAUAGGCGUCUGAGGUCACGGUAUAUAAUCUAGGUAACUUAGACUACAAGAUACGAUACUAACUAGUUGGUUUUGUAUGGAUACAGCAGAGGAGGAACAUGAAAAAGAAUGAAUCAAUGGCAGAUAUACAACAUUCAGAUUAGCAUGAAGCUAAUAGUGCUUUAUGCUAGGGGCUGAUUUCCAUCGAUUGACGUCUGCCAUGGCCAAUCAAAGAGAAGACGUGGCGAAAGGGGCGGGUCAGAGUGAGCAGCUAACCAUUCAGCACAAGCGAGAAGUGUGCUCGGUUGACAACAAGAAAGAUCUGGAAGAGACAGGGCCCGUGCUUUUCAUUAUUACAACUGUAUUAUGCUGUUCGUCUUACCUGAAGAAUAAUGUGCGGUACAUCUGAUGGGCCUCAUAGUAAUCUCCUCUCUCCACGCUGGCUCUCAGUUUGCCUUCCACUCGCUGUACUCCUCCGCGGUUCCUCGCGCUGGAGCUCUUCAGAGACUCCUGCUCCGACAUGACUGACCGCUUCUCAACCAAACGCGAUUACUGACAUUGAGGCUUCCGGCUUGCCGUACCAUUUUUUACAGAAACAUUUAUUUGUACAAUUUUACAAAUAAAGAGAGGUAUUAACAUUA